AAGUCGUAACAAGGUUUCCGUAGGUGAACCUGCGGAAGGAUCAUUAACACGUAUCCAACGUUAAACCCCCUCGGCAAUCUCUGGUAAAUCAUCGCCGAACAGUUUUGAUUCAGAGACCUCUGGGAAGGGUGUACGGUAGUGCGAGGCAAUUGACCUGGCAUUCCUCUGCUUGUUAGUGUCUGAAAGUGUCACUAGCUAUGUACGGAUGGCGCAGUAACGAUCGCUGGAGGCCGACACGGCCGGCGACCAGGUCACUGGGCUACGGCCCCCCUGAUCACAACCUUUGCAUGAAAACGGGCCUGCGCUGAGGUGCGGCCACCCCUAAUGCUUGAACAACUGUUAACAAUGGAUAUCUUGGUUCUC
rnacentral:misc_RNA from 1 species